AGUUGAUAUGAUGAACGAACUUGUUUCCCUAUUGGUUUGAUUCGCCGAUAUGAUGGCAACAAUGUAUUAGCUCUAUCUGAUCUAAA